CUCCUACGGGAGGCAGCAGUGAGGAAUAUUGGACAAUGGGUGAGAGCCUGAUCCAGCCAUCCCGCGUGAAGGACGACGGCCCUAUGGGUUGUAAACUUCUUUUGUAUAGGGAUAAACCUAGAUACGUGUAUCUAGCUGAAGGUACUAUACGAAUAAGCACCGGCUAACUCCGUGCCAGCAGCCGCGGUAAU
rnacentral:rRNA from 1 species